rnacentral:sRNA from 1 species
GGGCCAAGUGAAACUAGCGCGUUUUCUUGGAUCCUACACUUUAUAGUGAAUCAUAAAUACUUUAAAUACAAAGCCAACAUUUGCUGCAAAUAAACGUAAAAAUACUGUUAAAGUGUAAAGUGUUUUCCUCCGUACCGUCUGACGUUUCUGGCGGUUCGUUGAACGCGGGAGAACGCUGAGCCGUCUGCACUGAGCCCGGGAGCAUCUUCAGGGCAGCGCCGCCCACGCGCGAGGUGAAUGAAGGACACGGCCUCUUGACACUCCCAGGCAGCACAGAUAGACGGAUCCUGGCUAGAAGUGACCCCAGGAUUUUUUUAUUAUCAAGAGAGACUAGAAGAAUCAUGAGACUUUUCCUAGUUGCCUUUCAAGAAUACGAAGAAAAAAAUGGUUCUCAAAGUGUGUUUGAAUGAGUAUUGUUCCAAUAAAUGAACUUAUAUUCAUAUUUCAUCCCCUGAGUCCUGGUGUUUCAACAUCCGUUAGAACUGAAUAAUCAUACUGCAUAUCAAAGUUUGUGGGAAAUUUCUAAAGUGUAAAAAAUGCUUAUAUUGAAAAAGAAGAAAAGCUGAAAAUUAAUUGUGCUUCCAACUUAACUUUAAAAAAGGACAACAAGCUAAUCCUAAAGAAACUAGAAUAAAAGGAAAAAAUAAACAAGUUAAAGAGUAAUUUUAAAAAACACAAUAGAAAUGAUCAACGAAGCCAAAAGUUGAUUCUUUGAAAAGAUUAAUGAAGUAGGCAAACCACUGGUGAGAUGAAUCAAGAAAAAUAGAGAAAAGACUCAAAUAAACAUUAGGAAUGGAAAAUAGGGCAAUGCUAAAGAGAAUUCAAAGAUCAGAAAAAUAUGGGAGUACACUAAAAACGAUUUCAUGCCCAAGUGUUCAAAUCUAUAUUGCCUU